AAUUCUAGAGCUAAUACAUGCAGGAGUUCCCGACUCGGAAGGGAUGUAUUUAUUAGAUAAGAAACCAAACCGGUCUCCGGUUGCGUGCUGAGUCAUACUAACUGCUCGAACCGCACGGCUUUACGCUGGCGAUGGUUCAUUCAAAUUUCUGCCCUAUCAACUUUCGAUGGUAGGAUAGUGGCCUACCAUGGCGUUAACGGGUAACGGAGAAUUA
rnacentral:rRNA from 1 species